rnacentral:rRNA from 1 species
AAUAAACGCUGGCGGCGUGCUUAACACAUGCAAGUCGAGCGAGAACGGUCUUCGGACUUAGUACAGCGGCGAACGGGUGAGUAACGCGUGGGAAUCUACCAUUCAGUGAAGAAUACCCUCGAGAAAUCGAGGUUAAUACUGCAUACGUCCUUAGGGAGAAAGAUGGCCUCUUUGCUGUCGCUGAAUGAUGAGCCUGCGUACUAUUAGCUAGUUGGUAGGGUAAUGGCCUACCAAGGCGAAGAUGGUUAGCCGGCCGGAGAGGGUGUACGGCCACACUGGAACUUAGACACGGUCCAGACUCCUACGGGAGGCAGCAGUGAGGAAUCUUGCGCAAUGGGCGAAAGCCUGACGCAGCGACGCCGCGUGGAGGAUGAAGGUCUUCGGAUUGUAAACUUCUGUUAAGUGGGAAGAAAAGCAUAGUCUUAAUACGGCUAUGUAAUGACGGUACCAUUAGAGAAAGCACCGGCUAACUUCGUGCCAGCAGCCGCCGUAAUAC